UAAAGGUAAUUAUGCAAUCAUCGCUAAUUACUGCUUCCUACCAUUUCUACAUAGGGACUCUUUAAAACCUCCAACCUCAUGAUCGUGUAAAUUAUCAUCUCCAUUUUACAGAUGAGGAAACUGAGGUGAGGAGGGGUAAGUGACUUGCCCAAGGUCACAGAGCUCAUCAACAGUUUCAAACAUGGGGCGGCCGCUCAUCCACAAGGCCUGAGUGGGAUGCUAAGUACGCUUGGCAAAGCAGAGCCAGCAGAGCAGAGUUAGGAAGGCCCCAGCCCCACCUCAGCCCCCAAGCUGGAGGGGAGCUCACAGAGUGAGGUGGGCAGGCAGAGCUAUGCCUCCAAAAGCUCCCCUACUUCUUCAAGGGUGGCCUGGACCCACUGUGAGGCAGCGAAAACAAAGCCAGUGGUGGCCCUGUUGCUCCCAGCCUGUCCUUGCCAUUGUGAGAAGGGAGCCUGAGCCCAGCCCUCGGCCUAUCUGGGGAGGAAGGAAGGAUGUGGACUUGUCUGUCUUUGAGAACACACGUGAAAAAAAAAACCACAGAGAAGAGGCUUUAGAACUUGCCUCUGCACACUGGCAGCUUGUUCAAGAUUCUUCUCUGGUUGCUAAAAUAGCACAGGGUGUGAGUGGGGGAGAGGGAGGGCCGGCAGAAGAGAAAGAGGAGCUUGUUGGCUCCUUUGGGACCCAGUCACCACUCCCAGUGCGGUGGUGCACCGGGGACGGCAAGCUUCAGAGGGGCCCCUGGGCGGUUUCUGCUUUGUCACUCUGUAUGUGGGGGGAGGGAGAGGAGGCCAUCACUGGCCAUAAAGUCCUUCCUGUGUCACAAGGACCCCUCCCAGUGGCCAGGAUGUGGGGCGGCUGGGUGAAUGAAUGAUGGAUAUUGUUCUGGAGGUGACCUAAGCAGCCGGGAAUGUGGCAGCAGGGGGCUUUAAUGAGCCAUUCAUCAAUGAUUCCUUCCUCCAACCCAAAGAGGUAAACCCUGUCUACUCUGGGGCAGUACUGAAUCCGAAGCAAACAUCUUAAGACAGAGCAACCAAGUGGCAUUCCAGUGGGCACAGUGAUGGACUUCCCUCAGAUGACAUCACCCCAGGUCUUCCUUGCCCUUGACAUCUGCACCAUACAAUCACUUUACUCCGCCACCAGGAUUUGAGGCAAUUUGCUACCCAGCAGUAGAUAACUAACGCAAUAUGGAAGCAGAGUUGCUGUAUCAUAGGUUAACCCACGUUGUAGCCUGUAUCAGUGAGUGUUUCAUCACUUCUUGUCUGAGUAAUACUCUACUUUAUGGAUGUCUCAUGUUUUGUUUAUCCAUUCAUUCUCAAGUUGAUGGACAUUUGGGUCAUUCCUACUUAUGCUAUUAUGAAUAAUGCUGCUACAAACAUUCAUGUGUAAGGUUUUGCGCCAACGUGUUUCCAAUUCCCCUGGGUAUAUACCUAGGUGUCUAACUCCUGGAUCAUAUGGCAACUCUACGUUCAAUCGUUUGAGGAACUACCAAGCUGUUUUCCAAAGAGGCUUCAUCAUUUUACAUUCCCAUCAGCAACAUAUGAGCAUUCCAAUUUCUCCACAUCCUUGCCAACACUUGUUAUUAUCUGACUUUUUGAUUAUAGUCUUCCUAGUGGGUGUGAGGUGGUGUCUCAUUUGCAUUUCCCUAAUAAUUAAUGAUGCUGAGCAUCUGAUUAACCUCUUUGGAAAAUCUGUCUUCUAGUCCAUUUUUUAACUGGUUAUUUGUCUUUUCAUUGAUAUGUUGCAGGCAUUCUUUAUAUAUUCUGGACACUAGACUCUUAUCAGAUAUAUGAUUUGUAAAUAUUCUCUCCCAUCCUGAAGACUGUCUUUUUACUUUUACUUUCUGAGUGUUCUUUGAAGCAAAAAAAGUUUUUAAUUGUCACUAAGUCUAAUAUAACUAUUUUUCUUUGGUUGCUUGUGUUUUUGGUGUCCUAUCUAAUAAACAUUGCCUAAUCCAAGAUCACACAGAUAUUUAAAAAUUAUUAUUAUUAUUAUUAUUUUUGAUAGAGCACACGCAUGUAUGCGCAAGCAGGGGAAGGACAGAGGGAG